UAUAUCGGGUAAAACUUACUUGGAAUUGGGACCUUGAUGCGGAAAUUCAUUUGGGAUUGCUAUGAAUCUCGGAAAAACAAAUAAUAGGAAAUGAGCAUCCCUGAAGGAUCGCGCUAAGUAAUAUAUACUUCGUCAACCAUCUCCAUGAAGGAUUAAAACUGAAUAUCUAACAAUACAUGAUCCAUAUAUCCCCCCCCUUUUUUUUUUUUUUUUUUUUUUGGCAAAAUUUGACAACGUUAUGACCACCACAAGGAAAAAUUUAAAUUUCCCCUUUUUCCAAAAGCUCGUUAUGAGGAAUCGCUUCACUUUAGGUUACCGGUUUUAAAAACUGUAAGCGAGUAUAUUCUGCAUAUUUAGAAUUACUUCUCAAUUGAAAUUAUGUGGAGAAAAUAUUACUGAGGAAGAUAUGUUGGAGAAAACUUAUUCUACUUUUCACGCUAUACAUAUGCUCCUGCAGCAAGCAAUAUCGUGACGUAGUUUUAAAAAAAAUAUUCUAAUUGAUAUCAUUCUUUCUGGUUGCUGAACAAAUAAUGAUGUUUUGAUGAAUAUCAUUAAUCAACCAGACCAACUGGUUCGGUGCCAUUCCCUGAAGUGAAUGCAAAGACUGUGGUGUGGUUAUCCAUGUCGUGGGCGUGGUCGGGUCUUAGCCGUGACGUGUCUUGACGUAGUUAAUCUUAUAUCUAUGAUAUCCUGGUGAUCCAUAAUAGCUCAAAAAAAUUUUUAAGAAAACUGAAAAUAAGAGGAAGUAUGGAAAGGAAAAAGAUUUGAAAAAGAAGCCUUUCAAAAAUUAAUGCGAAAAUACUGUGAUAGAUGUUGCAUGAAAGUCAUUGGUCACGUACCUGUCGUAUGUCUAAACAUCCUUGUGAUCUUAUCAACAGCGUUGAAAGAAACAGAAAAGCUGCAGAAACGAAUUUUAUUGCACAUCAUAUAAUUCGCUGGAUAUUACACGUCUUGUAUACUUUGGAUUCCUUUGAGAUGUUGAUGAGAAAUUCAUCAUUGAUUGGCAUGAAAAUAUCAAUAUUGAAAAUCUUAUUGUAAUAACAAAUCAAUGUCUUUAUUUAGUAGGUUACUUUUAAUCUUUUGUUGUUAUCUUUCCUAUUGUCUUUAGUAUUUUUCAUAUAAAUAAAAAUUAUACGUUGAUUUGAAUGUUUUUCAUACAUCUUAUUUUUGUUAUUUUGAAGAAAUAGGAGUUUAUUAUUUGGCAUCAUGGUGGAAAUUUAUGUCUGGCAGACAGUGCAACAACGCACAACAUUCUCAGAGAUAAAUAUAUUUUUUCAAAAAGCUAAAAUUAACUGAAGCCAUGUUUAUUAUAAUCUCUGUAUUAAGCAAAUUUUAAAAUUAAGGCUCUGGAAGCGCACUAUUAAUGUUCAGUGGAGGAACACAAUUAAUAUAAUUGAUGCAUUAUUUUCUAGUAAUCACCAAGAAUCUACUAAUUUUUAAAUAAUCUACGUCGUAAUGGUUAUCAUAUUGAGGACCACAACUAAAAUUGUAAUAGAAUUUUAUAUAUCACAAUCGCUUAUCUUAAGCAAGAAGCAUAUAUUUAGAUAGAAAAGUUGUCAACAUUCUCUUCGAAUGUAUAUUAUACAUAUAUAAGUCUAAUUAGGUCUACUGUUUGUGUUAAAUAAUUAUUUUCCCAAAAGAUUUUAUCCUUUAGCAUGAUCGAUUAGGUCAUCCGGAGUGCAAUAAUAUGAGAAAAUUAUUAAAUUCAUAUGGACAUCCAUAAAGAAUCAGAAGAUUCUUUUAUCAAAUGAAUUUCCAUGUGCUGCUUGUUCUCAAGUAAAAUGAUUAUUCGGCCAUCCCCAUAAAGUUGAAAUGGGGGGGGGGGGGAAUCCCCUUCAUUUCUUGAACGAAUUUCAAGGGAUAUAUGUGGUCCUAUUUUCCAUCAUGUUGCACCAUUUUGAUAUUUUUAUGGUAUUUAAUAGUGCCGCUCAACACGUUGGUCACAUGUUUUGUUUGUUAUUAGUCGAAAUAUGGCAGUUGCAAGACUUUUGCAAAAAUAAUCCUAUUAAUGGCACAAUUUUUGGAUUAUCAUUAAAGAAAAUUCGUCUUGAUAAUGCUGGAGAUUUACAUCUCAAGCGUUUAACGAUUAUUGCAUGUCAAUUGAUGAUGUUGAGUACUCUGUGGCCCCACGUGCAUACACAAAAUGGUUUGAACAUAAUCUUUGAUUACACGCCUAAUAACUACUUGCUAGACCGGAUCUGAGAAAAUAAGUGAGGAAUCUUAUUUCUUUGUACUUGUUUAUGGGUAUAUAGAUGUAGGGGCAGAGCGAGGCAAGGCCUGGGAAGGACUAUAGCAGGCCUCACUUUUAAAAAAUUACGAAUUUUUCUUUAAGUUUUUGAAUAUUUUAUACUUUAGCCCCAUUGAAAUAUAUUAUAAUUUUUUGGAUAAAUUACACUGACCUCCCCUGAGGUUCCAGGUUAAUACACAACGCACCCCUGAACGGUUAAAAAUUUUACACUGAACCCCUGAUAUUUUCAGGUUAUUCCCAAAGCACCCCUGU
rnacentral:lncRNA from 1 species